UACAGAGGCCUCGAGCGUUAGGCGGAAUCACUGGGCUUAAAGCGUGUGUAGGCGGAUUGGUAAGUACCUUGUGAAAUCCCACGGCUUAACCGUGGAACUGCUCGGUAUACUGCUGAUCUUGAGCCACUCAGGGGCUACCGGAACAAAUGGUGGAGCGGUGAAAUGCGUAGAUAUCAUUUGGAACGCCAAUGGUGAAAACAGGUAGCUGGGGGUGUGCUGACGCUGAGACACGAAAGCCAGGGGAGCAAACGGG
rnacentral:rRNA from 1 species